AUACGAAGGGGGCUAGCGUUGUUCGGAAUUACUGGGCGUAAAGCGCGCGUAGGCGGUGAUCUUUGUCAGAGGUGAAAGCCUGGGGCUCAACCCCAGAAUUGCCUUUGAAACGGGAUCGCUAGAGUCCGAGAGAGGAUGGCGGAAUUCCUAGUGUAGAGGUGAAAUUCGUAGAUAUUAGGAAGAACACCGGUGGCGAAGGCGGCCAUCUGGCUCGGUACUGACGCUCAGGCGCG
rnacentral:rRNA from 1 species